AACGAACGCUGGCGGCAUGCCUAACACAUGCAAGUCGAACGAGACCUUCGGGUCUAGUGGCGCACGGGUGCGUAACGCGUGGGAACCUGCCCUUAGGUUCGGAAUAACUCCCCGUAAGGGGUGCUAAUACCGGAUAAUGUCUUCGGACCAAAGAUUUAUCGCCUUUGGAUGGGCCCGCGUUGGAUUAGCUAGUUGGUAGGGUAAAAGCCUACCAAGGCGACGAUCCAUAGCUGGUCUGAGAGGAUGAUCAGCCACACUGGGACUGAGACACGGCCCAGACUCCUACGGGAGGCAGCAGUGGGGAAUAUUGGACAAUGGGCGAAAGCCUGAUCCAGCAAUGCCGCGUGAGUGAUGAAGGCCUUAGGGUUGUAAAGCUCUUUUACCCGGGAUGAUAACGACAGUACCGGGAGAAUAAGCUCCGGCUAACUCCGUG
rnacentral:rRNA from 1 species